GCGUCUCUCCGGCCUCGGCUCACAGAGGCGAGCAGCCGCCUCCGCCCCCGGCCGGGCCGCGGCCCCCGCCUCGGCACCCCGCCGGCAUCCUCAGGCCUGGCCUCGUGAGGCGCCGGGUGUCGUGGGGUCCCCAGCUCCCCUUCCUCACCUAAAAUUCUCGCCGCGCCCCCUCCCUCCCUGGCUCCUGGAGCAGCGUCCAGCCCGCGGUCCCUUUUCCGGACCUGGGUGGCGUGCGGUCCUCCCCCGUCCCCAGCUUAGGUUCCUGCGCCCCUAGUCCUAGCUCCCCUCUUUUGUAUCCCCCUUUAAUCCCCAUCCCCCCAUUCAACCCAACUUCAGCCCCCGCGCUGCGCCCCCCUUCCCUGGCCCGGCUCGAUUGGCCGCUUCCUGAGCUGUCAGGCUUGAGUCCGGCGCUCUUAUUGGGCGAUUCUCUGGCCGGGCGGCUGUGCCAAAGGAAGGCGCACCGGGCUGGGGGCGCCCAGGCAGCCACUGCCGCAGGGAGCGGAAGACCAGAGUCCCUGGAGGGCCGGAGGGGCCCGAGAGACAGACCCGAAAAUGGACGGGGGAGAUGGAGAGACCGAGGAUCUCUGAGGCGCAGGAAGACAGUGACGGAAAAGAUGGAGAUGCAGUGGACAUCCCACCUGAUGAGAAAACAGCCUUUCCACUCAACACAGAGAAGGAUUGAGGGGAAGAAUGCUAAACUUGGAGUUAGAACACCUGGAGGUUCUACGCCAGCUCUACCACUUCCCAGCUGUGUGACAUCUAACAAGUCACUCUACCUCUCUGAACUGCAGUCCCUGGUAAGGGUAACUGCUCUCCUACCUGUCUUGAUGACUUGUUACGAGGAUCCUGGACAAUGAUGUGAAAUUCCUUUUCAAAGUAUUCAUCCUUAAGUAAAAUGGGAGUCAUUCUUAAUAAUAGCAAAUUAAUAAAUUCAUUCUUAAUAAA